GGAGCUCAGCCCAUGCAGGUGUGAGUGUGUGUGUGUGUGUGUGUGUGUGUGUGUGUGUGUGUGUGUGAUGUCUGCAUCUGCAUCUGUAGGGAGCUUGUUCCAAUGCCUGUUGUCCAGGUGAGAGUUAGGGCAAGCAGAACAAAGAGAGAGUCUUGUGGUGUCCCAAUCCCCUUGGCAAACAAGAAAUCAUUGCUCCUGUCAUGAAACAUUCAAAGGCCAGGGGGAUAGGAUAGUCUGUCACCUGCUGAAUGUGUGUGGUUUGUAUGAAGAAUUCUGAAGGAGGCUGCAAACUAGUGUGGCAGUUUCUAAGUCAACAAAGACAGGUUUAUGAAGGCUUCAUGCUGUCAGAGCACUGACUACCUAGGGGGGAUUGUUUAUAGCCCUUUCACUCCCUUAAUAGCUGUUUCCUGUGCACGUAGUAGGUGUAAACCACAGGCUUGCAAGUGAACAUCAGAAGUAGAUAGACCUUGGACCUAUCAAACAGUCAGAGGCUUGCUAUGCAGCCUUGGCUUGCCUCAAACCUGCAGUGAUCUUUGUGCCUCUGUCUCCUUAGUGCUGAAGUUACAGGCAUGCACCACCAUGACUGUAUGAUGUCUUCUCUGUAGCUAAUUAAAGAUGGUCUAUGUGAAGCCCCCAGCACUCGGCCUUUGCACUUGCUGAUCUUAAAGAUAUCAUUGCCAUCCCUGCUUCCAGCCACUGUCUAAUGGCAUAGAAUUUUAUAAAUCUGAAACUUGGACAUUCAUUUGUUUAUUCAAGGAAUGCUUGCUAAGCACCAGUUAUGUGCUAGACCCUUCUAGAUGCUGAAGACUGUUAUGCCAAUGAGGCUGGUGUCUUGUUUUAAUAGGAUCCACAUGGACCAGAAUGACUCUAUCCUAACUACUGUGCUUAAAUAAACUUACUUCUAUUUAGUUGCCAUAUUUAUUUGUGUUUAUUUACUGUGUGUGUGUGUGUGUGUGUGUGUGUGUAGAUGCAUGCAAGGCUGCACAUGUAUGCAUUCUGGCACAUAGAUGCUGAGGUCAGAGGACAAUUUGUAGGCGUCAGUUCUUUCCUUAUACCAUGCAGAUUCUUUGUUUGUUCGAUUUCAGAUUCUUCUUUGUUCAGUUCAUCAGACUUGACAGAAAGUGCCUUUAACCACUGAAUCAUCUUAUUGGCUCACACAGUCCACAUUUGAAUUAAUGAACUUAAAGCCACUUACCAUAGACUUUGUACAUUUUAAGAACUUGAGGCCCAUUAUUUUCUAGCCAGGUUUCUGACAACUUUGAAGUCAGGGAAGGUAGCUGUACAGUCUAUGCUGUGAAACACAAGGGCAGCUUCAGGUACCAUGCUCCUAGUCAUAUGUGUAAGAUUCUGCCUCUUGAACCUAACUCCCUAGAAAGAAUGUUGUGGCCUAGUUGUCCAGAUGUACACUUAGUGGAGCCAGCACCUAGUGUCUACCUGAAGCUCAGAUUUCCAAGGAAUUUUGACAUUUAUGAAUGGUACCCCAAUUAACCAAAACCACAGGCAGUCCUGUUACUCCAUGGGUGGCUUCCAUUUUUUUCACAGCACUGUAUGAUAGGGACUUAGCAUUUUCAGUAUGUAAUGGUUGUAUCAAUAGUCCCUCACACCCAAGAAUAUACAUAUCAUAAGAAAAAUUCCCUAUCUGUGUUGAUUUGGAGGUAGAAGGGAGUGGAUAGAAACAUUUUUCAAAUGUGCUUUUCUCAGCCCUUGUGGGGUUUUUUAGAGCCGUUGGAAGAGGUCAAUCUGUUUAAAGUUUCUCUGGGCUCCAGACAUAGCUCUUAAGUAUUCUUUAAUGAUCCUAGAUAAAAUGCUGGGGCUGGAGGAUGAGGGACUUAGAUCCGGAAAUCAUAUGCCAUUGCAAAUAUUUAUUAAGUACUUAUUCUGUCUGUGAUGCUAUACAUUGGAAAGGCAAGCAUCAGUAUAAGAAAGCCCAUGAUGGGAAAGAUGGUGGGCUAGGCAAUUCCCUAUUUCAGCCGUAGGAGUGUGGAAGAAAUAGCAACCUGGGGAGACAGGGUGCGGAGAGAGCUGUUGGGGAGAGUGGGGCUCAUCUACAGAAACAGUAAUGAGACUGACAGGUGGCUAGGGCCUUGGAUAUAUUCCCUGAUCUUGUCCUAGACCUGAAACCCACUGACCAACUACUAGAGUCAUAUUUGAAUGGUGGGAGGUGUACAAGCAAAACAACCAGGGAUAGUGAGGCAGGAAGCUAUAUUCUCUACAUCUGAAACACAUCAGCACUAAAGCUAAGAGUAUGACCAGACUUUUUGGUUCUCUGAGCUUCUUGGUUAUGUGCUAAGCCAUCUGCAGGGAUCCCUGGUUUUUGGGCUGCCUGCCAGGCGAAGCAUCUUCUGGCCUAGGCUUAGAGAGGAACUUUCAGGUAGAGACCCAGCCUGAGCAGUAUGAUGUCAACACCACCCUGCAGGCUCACAAGCACUGAUACUGGAGAAGCUUUUCCGAGAUGGGAAUCAAUUGAUUGCUCUGGGGUAGGACACAUCCUUCAGGAGACACUUCUAAGUGCAGGAAGCAAGUGGUGAAUGGGGAAUCAGUGUGGCUUUGUGUUCUAGCUCGGGUUUCCCUGUCUGUUUCCAUGGUGACAAGAGUCAUGAAGCCCUAAGGGCUGCAAGCUGUGGUUUCUGUGGAAUCUUCCAAGCAGUAGAAUGACACUCCAGGUGGAAUGGCUUCCCCUGUGGAUCCAGUGGCCUCAGUGAGUCAGAGGUGCGCCCACAAUGCCAGAGGCUCCAUUGCAAUGGGUGUGUUACUCAGGUGGCUUCCUCAUCCCAGCUACGCCUUGACAGGUCCCCCACCUUUCUCAGCUGCCAGGGUCUCUCCAAUUGUCUUGUGCAUCCAAUAUAUGCAAAACAAGCAGUUGCAGGUUGUGUGUGGGUACAAGAUACUGUAGCUUCGCCUCCCUGGCAUUCCCCUUCCUUUUGACAUCUGUCUUGCACCAUGGAGGGUUUUUCUUGACUCUGUGCCAGCUGCCAUCACUACUCACUGGUGAGCUAUUCCAGACAGGAGAAUCACUGAUACUGGCCCCGGAGCACACAGUUGGUUACUGGAAAAAUCUGUAUAUACACGAAACAAGAUUAAAAGAAGGAUUGGGUAGUGCGAUGUCAUGUAGCAGUGUGGGCCAGGUUUGCGCCAUGUUACCUACAAUGCUGUCCCCAGCCCCCGACACCUUCUGUGACUCACUGUCGUGGGACUCUUUCUUGUACAAUUGACCUGAUUACUGAGGGUACACUUUCAGGAAUAGCAGGUACAGAGUAAGUCCAGCCUGCUGCAGCCGAUCUUUCCUUCUUGGCUCUUGCUCUGCCUGGACCCUGAGGCUGACAACCUUCUCUGACCUCUUCUGCAGCUCUGAAUGAUCUCCUGCAACCGGAUUUCCCGUCCCUGUCAGGCCCACUUUGCUGAACUCCUGGCUGAGCCCCACCCUGUCCUCUCCUCUUCCUGCCAGGAGCUCAGGGUGAGGCUUAAGGGUUUAAAAGCAAAACAUGGUUUGCUGUUGGGGGCUGGGUUCUGUCUCUCUCCUUUCUUCAUUUCUUUGGCUCUUUUCAUUGUCGUAGGUAGGGAAUUGUAUUAGAGGAUAAAAUAAUAUAUAUAUUUUUUGAAUACCAACUCUGCUCUUACUUGCCAGGUAGCAAGUCUCCUCGGCUUUUGGUCUCUUAACCGUUUUCAUUUAGUAAGUAUGUGGAUCAUUCCAUCUCUACACCUCUGUCCACACCAUAACUAUACAUGACAUUUAGUUAACUCAUAGAUGGGUUCAUAUGUCAAUAAGUCAGGUACCGAGUAAAUCUGGAACUGAGCCGUGCCUCCAUCUACUUAACACUACGUCUUUGCAAACUUCUUCAACACCUCUGUUUUUUGAUCAUGGUACCAAGAUGUACUUGGAGGAGACAGUGACAGUAGAAUCUUCAUGACAUGCAUUCAGAGUCAGCUCUUUUCAGUCAGCUGGGUGUGCCUCAGGGUAUUUAAUUCUCCGAGCCUCUGUUUCCUUAUUUGACAUGCAUAGCCUAAUCCUUGCCUUUCGUUUUUGUUAGGAGACACAAAAAGGCAGGCUGUUCAACCCCAGCAUCUGACUAUUCCAGUCCACAGUGUAUGGGUACUACUGCUUUUCAAAUCAUUGCAUUAUGAUUGUGAGGGUGUCCUACAGGAAGCAGUACAGCCUGACAGCUGCAGAAUAAUUAGGAAUA
rnacentral:sRNA from 1 species